AUACGUAGGGGGCGAGCGUUGUCCGGAAUGAUUGGGCGUAAUGGGCGCGUAGGCGGCCCGGUAAGUCUGGAGUGAAAGUCCUGUUUUUAAGAUGGGAAUUGCUUUGGAUACUGUCGGGCUUGAGUGCAGGAGAGGUAAGUGGAAUUCCCAGUGUAGCGGUGAAAUGCGUAGAGAUUGGGAGGAACACCAGUGGCGAAGGCGACUUACUGGACUGUAACUGACGCUGAGGCGCGAAAGUGUGGGGAGCAAACAGGAUUAGAUACCCUGGUAGUCCACACUGUAAACGAUGAAUGCUAGGUGUAGGGGGUAUCGACCCCUUCUGUGCCGCAGUCAACACAAUAAGCAUUCCGCCUGGGGAGUACGGCCGCAAGGUUGAAACUCAAAGGAAUUGGCGGGG
rnacentral:rRNA from 1 species